rnacentral:rRNA from 1 species
GGUUUAUUCGAAGCAACGCGAAGAACCUUACCUGGCCUUGACAUGCUGAGAACUUUCCAGAGAUGGAUUGGUGCCUUCGGGAACUCAGACACAGGUGCUGCAUGGCUGUCGUCAGCUCGUGUCGUGAGAUGUUGGGUUAAGUCCCGUAACGAGCGCAACCCUUGUCCUUAGUUACCAGCACCUCGGGUGGGCACUCUAAGGAGACUGCCGGUGACAAACCGGAGGAAGGGGGGGAUGACGUCAAGUCAUCAUGGCCCUUACGGCCAGGGCUACACACGUGCUACAAUGGUCGGUACAAAGGGUUGCCAAGCCGCGAGGUGGAGCUAAUCCCAUAAAACCGAUCGUAGUCCGGAUCGCAGUCUGCAACUCGACUGCGUGAAGUCGGAAUCGCUAGUAAUCGUGAAUCAAAAUGUCACGGUGAAUACUUUCCC